rnacentral:lncRNA from 1 species
CAAACAGGUUAAGCUCGGUGUUUCAGUUUUAACGAAUUUUCACGUAUCUUUCACGGCAGACGAGAGAGUGAAUGAUCUAAGAGUUAAAAUGCUGACUUAAGUUUAAAGGUUCCGAGUUCUUGAAGCAGUGAAAACUAAUCAUCGAUAGGCAUCAAUUGAAUAUUUGCCAUGUAUCAUCAGGGCACCGUGAAGACUCGUCAUGAGGAUAAUACUGAGGAUAAUUCAAGCGAUCGAUCUUUUGAUGAUAAAUCACCCAAGCUUGGUAAUGAGCAAUUAGGUGCCAAAAAAACAGAUAUACCCUUAAAUGUUGACCCUUCAGUUAUGAAAUAUGUUUCGAAUACCAUCGAAGAAUUUGUUGCCGGUGAUCUCGAUUCAGAAAUACAAAAUUUACCAGAAAUCGAUCCUUCAGCGUGGGAAGCAGAAGCUUACAAUAUUUCCAAACUACUAUUCGAUAAGUAUCACCAAAAAAUUGAGCAAAAUUUGCGGGGAUUUCUCCGAGGCAAAGAGUAUGCAGUAAAUUUUCCGUUGCCCUGUGAAGGCGAAAACGAGAUUGAAACUUCGGAACCGAGCAACAUGACUUUAACAUACUUCAAUGAAGCACAAGAAUCAAUAAUCGAGUCUCAGGCGUGCCAUGAUGUUGUACACUGUAUCGGAAACGAUAAAAACGCGGAUGUGCGAUUAAAAUACCUCAACAUUCUUGUGAAUCUGCAAAGUUUCGAUGAUAUCGAUUGUGACUCAUGGAUGGACAUAUUAAAAAAAUUGAAGAAAAACUUGACGGAUGAAAAUUCGGAAAUAUUUUCAAUCACACUCCAAAUCCACUCGAAACUAGCUUCAAGUAUGAAGGCGUUUUUUCUUCAGGAGGCCGUCAAGAAUCUAGUCGAGCAUCUAUACUACCAAUAUCAUUUCAAAAAAUUCCCUCACUUGGAGAUCAACGUGGAUGAUGAGAUUUCCAGAAGAACCGUUUAUAUUUUUGUAUCUUUGGUAGACAUUUUGAAACAUAUCGGUCACAAUUUUAUGCGCGUGAGCGAUAAAGUCCUCCACGAGGUUCUCAGUUGUUUUGUUAAUUUGAUAUUUGUCCACCCUUUCAAUCUGACCGAUUUGAAACAGAUCUACCAGACGGAGACUCUGUGCCCAUACGCAUUUUUAUCCGCAUUAGAUCCGAAUGCUUCUUGGUUGACGAGACUUCUAUUCAAUUUGAAAUCGCGUCAAGUUGCGAUGAGUGUUUUCAAGGAGAAUAAAAAGUUUUUCCGACACAAAAUCGAGCAGGUUUUCGAGUGGUUCCAACUCCCCGACACAAGUAUCCCGAUACCUGCUGAGCGACAGGCGGCUACUCUCGGGUCCGUAAAGCUUUUGACGAUUAAAUAUGCCAUGGUCGUUCACACGAUUUCAAUGUUUUCUCACAUAUGUCAGUACAGCGAGGGAAAAAAAACGUUCGCAAACUUUUGCUCGGAACAUAAAUCCAUAAAUUAUGAGUCUUUCGUGGGAAUAAUGGUGCGUUUUCUACAAAAGUUCCGAGAGUUUGAAAAGAUUAGGACCACAUUUUUCUCCGGAAAAUUAAUCGACACUGUCACAGAUUGUGUUGUAAAGAUGCUUCCAAAUGAGAAUCCGGAGUCUUUGAAAUUGAUUUUAGUCGAAAUUUUUGCGCCGCUAAGAAGCUCCGAAAACAUUUCAAAACCUUACGCUGAAUUCCUGAACAAAGUCUUCAACAGCCCGCCUGUCAUCGCUUUUAUAAUUGCUCAAAGUAGCUCACAUAACUUUUCGAGCGAUCGAACAGUAGGCACCAUGAGCACGAGCAGUUCGCAAUCGAACAGCUCGAGAUCAAAACGAUCCAAUUCCGGCUGUGAGAGUGUUCACACUGCCAAGUCAGACAAGUCGUUCGAGUUGAUAGUGGAUGAUAACAUUUCUGUGAAAGUCAUCGUUCAGUAUGUCCAUGUUUACAUGAAUACACACAGUACAGACGAUUUGUCCGUGAUAGAGAAACUUCUCAAGAUUGUUCUGAAGUUUUUUACUCUACCCGAUACUUUGAUUCUUCUGCACUCGUACUUGCAUUCGAUUAUCUUUGACGUCUUCCAACUUACAAGCCUUAUAACUCAGAAUUUCUGCUCGACUCAGGAGAAGUGUCACGAUGCUGGCAGGUCGGAGGAAAAUACCAUUAAAAGGUAAAUAUAUGAUAGUCUCAUUCGGUUCCCGGGGAUUUUGGACAAGGACCUGCGGGUUGAUUAUUGAAAUUGAUAGACAAAGCUACAGACAAUAAUGAGGCAAGGAAAAAUGGAGCAAUCCACAUUGGUGGAAGCGGGUGGUUGUAACUGUUGUAAGGCCUUGUCUCGACUGCAACUGUUGCGAGUUUGUUGCACCAUCCGAAGUUCCCUGUCUCGAUGCACACAUGUGUUCAUGUGUGUGACAUGUGUUCCUGGAACUUUUAGGCGGGGAUAUUUGAACAACAUUAAUUUUUUUAGGUUAAACGAUGUCAACUGAAACGACUGAACUGAUAAUUAUGAACUGGAGGCGAAUAUUUUCCGUUAUUUCGACCAGGUUUAAAAACAAAAACAAUAACAUGACACAGAUAUGGAUAAAAGAAUGUACAUUCGAUAAAAUUUUAUUUUCCUGCUGUAGUGAUAUACUACGAACGAAAAUAUAAAUUGAUACUGAAAUGUAUACAAAUAUUUCUAAAUGAUAGCCGCUCAGAAAUAUAAGGCCCGUAAUAAACUCCCGCUUCACGUGUAACCAGCGUUUAUCAAUUCAGAACACGAGGGUAAACAACUGUUCGAGGUUCCAGGCUUCUGACCGUGAAAGUUUCACUUAUAAGUGUAAAAUUUUUGAAACACUUCCUUCCUUCAACAGUUGUGCCGUCAAGACAAGGCCUAAUGGACAAAGGAGGUAAGUGAUAGACUAACUGACGGCAACCCGUGAGGGACCCUAUCGUUUGUCGAUCAUUGUUCCCCUUAGUCUAUAACAAGCACCCGUUCCAACCAACAGGAUCGCCCCAGUUUCUCUUUGUCUUCUUUGUCUAUCAUUUUUUCUAUCAGUUUAGAGAAUCAGCCUGCUAUACCAGUUAUCAAAAAUGACGAUGGGUUUCUAGACAGGGCAUGAAUUAAAGCACUACGCGACACCUUUUCUCUUCACAAUUUUACGAGGAAAACGGCUUGCACAUGAGAGGUUCAUGGAAAGAUCAACUCCUAAACAGGAUAUGAGCUUUAAAUGCCAAAAGUACAAAAAUAAAUUCCAUUGUAUCCUUGUUAAAAAUACAUGAUAAUAUUUUGUUCAAGGGUUGAAUUCCAAACUCCCCAUCACGUGGAUCAUUUGCUAAGUGCGAUUUUGAAGAGAAAAUAUGUAAUAAUUUUUCUUAGUUCAAACUUUGUCUAGUAGCCCAUUGAAAAUGCCUGAACGAGGAUCGGGAUAAUUGGAAAUGUCAUGGAAACUCAGGGCAAAAAGUAAAGAAAAAGAGGGGUGUCCGUCACACUGGAAAAAAACCACCUUGGAUCUGGAGUCCAGACUCUUGAAAACAUUGACAAGAAAAAGGACUCUUGAUUCAAUCAGAUUUAAGCUUGAAUCAAAAGGAAAUCCGCUCAAAUUAAGAGACUUGGUUCUUCAUUGGAUGUAUUUCUAUCAAACGGAACUAUGUGCAUUAAGACAUGAGCCCUGAGACCCAUAAAAAUACAUGCAUGAGAGGGCUCAUGUCAUAAUGCACAUAGUUCCGUUUGAUAGAAAUACGUCCAAUUUAAGCUUAAAUCUGAUUGAAUCAAGAGUAUUUUCUCUUGUAGAUGUUUUUAAGAGUCUGGACUCCAGAUCCAAUGUGUUUUUUUUCCAGUGCAGAUAAGUGAGGCACCAAGUGACGAAGCGCGGGGAAAUUGGACUGCAUUUUGCAAAUUUGGAAUUAUAAAUUCUGGCCCGGUUUAAAAACAACGUAUGUGCCAUUAGUUUCCCUAUGCACAUACGUGUUUUUUCAGAUGAGCCAGAAUUUAUAAUUCCAAAUUGCAAAAUGCAGUCCAAUUAUAACUCUAUUUCUACUAUGCUCCAUUUGUAUGAUAUAAAAAUGUGUUACUUACCAAACAGAUAGAAGUUCGCUGAGGAAUAACAAGAUGAUGAUCAUGAAAUUCCAAGUCGAGUCAGGCACACUGAAACAAGAAAUGAAACUAUACUUAUUUUUCGAUCUAAGAAGUGAAUCAGAC